GGUAAAAUGGCUGAGAUAGGCGAUAAAUUGUAAAUUUAUUUACGAAUUUAAAAAUUCUUUUAUCA
rnacentral:tRNA from 1 species